CCCACCACUUGCUCAGCUACUAGGUUCUCUGAGAGCCAGUGUACAUGGCAGGAAUUAGGCUAGAAGAAGCAAGGUCUAUUCCAAGAUGAUUCUAAUAAGAGCUUGGAACCAGAUUUUGAAGGUGUGACCAAUAGCAAGAGUUCUUGCUGGGAACAGGGAUGAGAAGCAAUGCCCAAGGGGAAGCUGUGUAUUGUUGAGGUACAGCAGGUACAGGGAGAGGUGAAUCCAAGAGGGAACAGAGAAGAUUGAGGAGUCAGUCUACAGUGGAGGAGAUCUACUACAACAGAAAUUAUCUGUUCCUCUUUUACUUAAUCUGGAAAAAAAAAAAAAAGGAAAAAAAAAGUGUCUUGUGUUCAGUUGAAUUUUAAGUAAUUGUCAUUCUUCAGCCAACUGGCAGGACCCGCCUGGUGCACCUCAGAGUACCAGUCUAUCUGUUGUUCUGCAUCCAGUUCCAGUCAGAAUCUAAUAUUUUAGAUUAAGGUAGAAACAUGGAAAACAAUAUUUGGCCAGUUGUUCUUCUUAUUCAAAUGAUCAAUUGGUGAACCUUGAAGGAGAUGGGAGUCUUGGGAAUAUAUUACAGUGAUUUACUGCACAGCAGCCAGUUCUGUAGGACCAUGUAGGAAAGAUUAUUGAUCCUUCUGUUCCCUAGGGAUGGGUGGA
rnacentral:lncRNA from 1 species